UGAAAAGGGGACAACCCUACACAUGUCAGUCGAGCGGUAGGCACAGAGAGCUUGCUCUCGGGUGACGAGCGGCGGACGGGUGAGUAAUGUCUGGGAAACUGCCUGAUGGAGGGGGAUAACUACUGGAAACGGUAGCUAAUACCGCAUAACGUCGCAAGACCAAAGUGGGGGACCUUCGGGCCUCAUGCCAUCAGAUGUGCCCAGAUGGGAUUAGCUAGUAGGUGGGGUAACGGCUCACCUAGGCGACGAUCCCUAGCUGGUCUGAGAGGAUGACCAGCCACACUGGAACUGAGACACGGUCCAGACUCCUACGGGAGGCAGCAGUGGGGAAUAUUGCACAAUGGGCGCAAGCCUGAUGCAGCCAUGCCGCGUGUGUGAAGAAGGCCUUCGGGUUGUAAAGCACUUUCAGCGGGGAGGAAGGCGGUGAGGUUAAUAACCUCGCCGAUUGACGUUACCCGCAGAAGAAGCACCGGCUAACUCCGUGCCAGCAGCCGCGGUAAUACGGAGGGUGCAAGCGUUAAUCGGAAUUACUGGGCGUAAAGCGCACGCAGGCGGUCUGUCAAGUCGGAUGUGAAACCCCGGGCUCAACCUGGGAACUGCAUUCGAAACUGGCAGGCUAGAGUCUUGUAGAGGGGGGUAGAAUUCCAGGUGUAGCGGUGAAAUGCGUAGAGAUCUGGAGGAAUA
rnacentral:rRNA from 1 species